rnacentral:rRNA from 1 species
UACGUAGGAUGCAAGCGUUGUCCGGAUUUACUGGGCGUAAAGCGCGCGCAGGCGGCAAGGUAAGUAAGGUGUGAAAUAUCCCGGCUCAACCGGGAGGGUGCACUUUAGACUGCUUUGCUUGAGGUCGGUAGAGGGGGGUGGAAUUGCUGGUGUAGCGGUGAAAUGCGUAGAGAUCAGCAGGAACACCCGUGGCGAAGGCGCUCUGCUAGGCCGCAACUGACACUGAGGGACGAAAGCUAGGGGAGCGAAUGGG